CAAGUCUCUAUCAGUCAAAGCCUAACCAGCAGACUGUAUCGAGUGUUGCAUCGAAAUAGGUAACUAUCAGAUGAAGUGUACACAGAGAACUUUUUAGGCCAGAAGGAGUACCGUACUCCUGAAGCAUAUUCAGCCCCGUUAACUGGAUGUCUGUAGCACAGGCAAAAGAGCAGAUGACAACAUGUUUAACGUCAUGGAAGUCAGCACAAAUGAGUUGUAAUGGUAAGACUCAUGAGGGUCUGUCGGGGUCAGAGCACC
rnacentral:ncRNA from 1 species